rnacentral:rRNA from 1 species
AACGCUGGCGGCGUGCCUAACACAUGCAAGUCGAACGGAAUUUACAUGAAGCCUAGCGAUUGUAAAUUUAGUGGCGGACGGGUGAGUAACGCGUGGGUAACCUGCCUUGUACUGGGGGACAACAGUUGGAAACGACUGCUAAUACCGCAUAAGCGCACAGCUUCGCAUGAAGCAGUGUGAAAAACUCCGGUGGUACAAGAUGGACCCGCGUCUGAUUAGCUGGUUGGUGAGGUAACGGCCCACCAAGGCGACGAUCAGUAGCCGGCCUGAGAGGGUGAACGGCCACAUUGGGACUGAGACACGGCCCAAACUCCUACGGGAGGCAGCAGUGGGGAAUAUUGCACAAUGGGGAAACCCUGAUGCAGCAACGCCGCGUGAGUGAAGAAGUAUUUCGGUAUGUAAAGCUCUAUCAGCAGGAAAGAAAAUGACGGUACCUGACUAAGAAGCCCCGGCUAACUACGUGCCAGCAGCCGCGGUAAUACGUAGGGGGCAAGCGUUAUCCGGAUUUACUGGGUGUAAAGGGAGCGUAGACGGUUUUGCAAGUCUGAAGUGAAAGCCCGGGGCU